CGGUGGAUGCCCUGUGCUGGAGGUAUCAGAAGUGCGAAUGCUGACAUAAGUAACGAUAAAGCGGGUGAAAAGCCCGCUCGCCGGAAGACCAAGGGUUCCUGUCCAACGUUAAUCGGGGCAGGGUGAGUCGACCCCUAAGGCGAGGCCGAAAGGCGUAGUCGAUGGGAAACGGGUUAAUAUUCCCGUACUUGGUGUUACUGCGAAGGGGGGACGGAGAAGGCUAUGUUGGCCGGGCGACGGUUGUCCCGGUUUAAGCGUGUAGGUGUGUGUUCCAGGUAAAUCCGGUUCACUUUAACACUGAGGCGUGACGACGAGGCACUACGGUGCUGAAGCAACAAAUGCCCUGCUUCCAGGAAAAGCCUCUAAGCAUCAGGUAACAUCAAAUCGUACCCCAAACCGACACAGGUGGUCAGGUAGAGAAUACCAAGGCGCUUGAGAGAACUCGGGUGAAGGAACUAGGCAAAAUGGUGCCGUAACUUCGGGAGAAGGCACGCUGACAUGUAGGUGAAGUGAUUUACUCAUGGAGCUGAAGUCAGUCGAAGAUACCAGCUGGCUGCAACUGUUUAUUAAAAACACAGCACUGUGCAAACACGAAAGUGGACGUAUACGGUGUGACGCCUGCCCGGUGCCGGAAGGUUAAUUGAUGGGGUCAGCGCAAGCGAAGCUCCUGAUCGAAGCCCCGGUAAACGGCGGCCGUAACUAUAACGGUCCUAAGGUAGCGAAAUUCCUUGUCGGGUAAGUUCCGACCUGCACGAAUGGCGUAAUGAUGGCCAGGCUGUCUCCACCCGAGACUCAGUGAAAUUGAACUCGCUGUGAAGAUGCAGUGUACCCGCGGCAAGACGGAAAGACCCCGUGAACCUUUACUAUAGCUUGACACUGAACAUUGAGCCUUGAUGUGUAGGAUAGGUGGGAGGCUUUGAAGUGUGGACGCCAGUCUGCAUGGAGCCGACCUUGAAAUACCACCCUUUAAUGUUUGAUGUUCUAACGUGGACCCGUAAUCCGGGUUGCGGACAGUGUCUGGUGGGUAGUUUGACUGGGGCGGUCUCCUCCUAAAGAGUAACGGAGGAGCACGAAGGUUGGCUAAUCCUGGUCGGACAUCAGGAGGUUAGUGCAAUGGCAUAAGCCAGCUUGACUGCGAGCGUGACGGCGCGAGCAGGUGCGAAAGCAGGUCAUAGUGAUCCGGUGGUUCUGAAUGGAAGGGCCAUCGCUCAACGGAUAAAAGGUACUCCGGGGAUAACAGGCUGAUACCGCCCAAGAGUUCAUAUCGACGGCGGUGUUUGGCACCUCGAUGUCGGCUCAUCACAUCCUGGGGCUGAAGUAGGUCCCAAGGGUAUGGCUGUUCGCCAUUUAAAGUGGUACGCGAGCUGGGUUUAGAACGUCGUGAGACAGUUCGGUCCCUAUCUGCCGUGGGCGCUGGAGAACUGAGGGGGGCUGCUCCUAGUACGAGAGGACCGGAGUGGACGCAUCACUGGUGUUCGGGUUGUCAUGCCAAUGGCACUGCCCGGUAGCUAAAUGCGGAAGAGAUAAGUGCUGAAAGCAUCUAAGCACGAAACUUGCCCCGAGAUGAGUUCUCCCUGAGACUUAAAGUCUCCUGAAGGAACGUUGAAGACGACGACGUUGAUAGGCCGGGUGUGUAAGCGCAGCGAUGCGUUGAGCUAACCGGUACUAAUGAACCGUGAGGCUUAACC
rnacentral:rRNA from 1 species